rnacentral:rRNA from 1 species
ACGCCAGAAGACUACGAGCGCAAGCUUAAAACUCAAAGGAUUUGACGGUGCCCCAUCUACCUAGAGGAGCCUGUUCUGUAAUUGAUAAUCCCCGAUAUACCUCACCCUUUUUAGCUAAUCAGUCUGUAUACUUCCGUCGUAAGCCUAUCAUAUGAAUGCUUUAAUAGGCUAAAUAAUUUAAACAUUAAAACGUCAGGUCAAAGUGCAGCCAACAAAAGGGAAGAGAUGGGCUACAAUUUUUAAUUUAAAACAUACAAAAUAGCACUUGAAAAUUGCUAUGAAGGUGGAUUUAGAAGUAAAGU